GAUGAACGCUGGCGGCGUGCCUAAUACAUGCAAGUCGAGCGAACAGACGAGGAGCUUGCUCCUCUGACGUUAGCGGCGGACGGGUGAGUAACACGUGGAUAACCUACCUAUAAGACUGGGAUAACUUCGGGAAACCGGAGCUAAUACCGGAGAAUAUAUUGAACCGCAUGGUUCAAUAGUGAAAGACGGUUUUGCUGUCACUUAUAGAUGGAUCCGCGCCGCAUUAGCUAGUUGGUAAGGUAACGGCUUACCAAGGCAACGAUGCGUAGCCGACCUGAGAGGGUGAUCGGCCACACUGGAACUGAGACACGGUCCAGACUCCUACGGGAGGCAGCAGUAGGGAAUCUUCCGCAAAGGGCGAAAGCUUGACGGAGCAACGCCGCGUGAGUGAUGAAGGUCUUCGGAUCGUAAAACUCUGUUAUUAGGGAAGAACAAAUGUGUAAGUAACUAUGCACGUCUUGACGGUACCUAAUCAGAAAGCCACGGCUAACUACGUG
rnacentral:rRNA from 1 species